AAUAUGGUUGGGGAACUUCAGCUGCCCUUCGAGGUCCACCAACAGCUGCCAGUCCCUUGCAGAGGUCAGAAUGCCUGCAGAUGUUCUUUUGGCAGGUAUUGGCUGCUCCCCAGCUCUGACAAAGGCAAUGGUCUGAACUAUUCCACAACAUAUGGACUCGCUUUCAAGCACUCUACAACUCACGUUCUCAAUAUUACUACCAUUGAUUUAUUUUUGUAAUUGCACAAUUUGUCUUAAGCACAUGGGUGGUUUGUCUUUGUUCAUGUGUAGUUUUUCAUUGAUAAUAUUUUGUUUCUUGUUAUCUACUGUGAAUUCCUGCAAGAAAAUGAAUCUCAUGAUAGCAAAUGGUGACAUAUACAUAGUUUGAACUUUACAUUGAACUUUGUUUCACUAUUAAAAAUAUCCUCUAUUUUGUUAUCAGGAGACCACUGUCAGUGCAGAUCAGUGAGCUCAUCUCCUCCUUGCUGACAAGCAGCACCUCGAGAAUAAGUACUUAGCCCACUGCUCUACUGUCUCUGCAUGCAUGGCUAAACACAGCUCACUCACCAUUUAAAUUUGUUAAUGACACCUCUUGUUGGUAGAAGCUCACGAGGCAACGUAGAGGUGUAAAGAGAUAGAUCAGCUGGUUGAGUGGUGUUGCAACAACAACAUUGGACUUGGCAUUUGGCAUGACCAAAGAAUGUAUUAUGGAAUUCAUGAAGGGGAAUUUGGAAAGACACACACCAGCCUUCACUGAGGGGUCAGCAGUGAGCUGCUUCAAGUUGGGUGUCAACAUCUCGGAAGGUCUAUUUUAGGCCCAGCAUAUUAAUGCAAUCAUAAAGAAGGCAAGCCAGCUGUUCUAGUUUCGGUAGACUUGGGUGAAGGAGUAAUCACUGCCAAGAAUAGCAUACUGCCAGCCAUUUAUUUGGAGAGGCUGAAAGACCAUGGCACCACGAGAUGGAAAGGUCUGCUUUUCCACAAAUCUGGAGGCUUCCCAUUUCAUCAGCUUGGAGUCUCCUAUGAACCUGUGAAAUGUUCCCCGUGCCACUGGCUGCAACACAAGCCCAAAGCAUGAUCGAUCCACCCCUGUGCUUAACAGUUGGAGAGGGGUUCUUUUUCUUCAUCCUUUUUUCUCCAACAUACCUUUGCUCAUUGCGGCCAAAUUUCAGCGUCAGAAGUUUGCAAAGAAACAUCUAAACAAGCCUGUUGCAUUUCGGAAAAAAGUCCUGUGGACUGAUGAAGUUAAAAUAGAACUUUUUGUGAAAGAAAUCAAGGCAGUAAUCCAUUCUGUAUCUAUGGAUAACUAUGCUUACUCUACGUAACCUUUGUAGUUUGCAAAUCCUUUUAAAGUUCUUGAUUGGAUUACUACCUGUACUUAUAAAUGUUAAGCAUAUCCUUUAAACAUCAUACCAGUCAUCAUGGCAGUAAGAGGGCAAAAGUGUUGUAGACACUAUAUGAGAUCAGCACAAUUUAUUGCCAUUGACUGAGACAGUUUGCGUGAUCUCAUUGGAACAUCACUCAAAGUUAACACUGUAAAAUAACCUUAAAUCCUGAAUAAUGUUACAAUCCUACUUCUUUUGUAAGCCUCAUUCACAAAUCCUGCAGAGAGGGUUGAACAGGAAGCUCAGGCAACGUCGGACUGGCACCAUUUCUAAACCUGACUGUCAAUUUCACCAUGUCCUAACAAACUUGUCAGAUAAUAUGACCUGUGUCAACAAUGAACCAGAUCUCAACGGGUGCAAUAAAUGUCAACAUUUACUUAUUACUUUCAACGGUGAAUGAAACAAAGAUGAGCAUGACUUCAAGA